AAGAAGGUCUUCGGAUCGUAAAGCUCUGUUGUCAGGGAAGAACAAGUACCGUUCGAACAGGGCGGUACCUUGACGGUACCUGACGAGGAAGCCACGGCUAACUACGUGCCAGCAGCCGCGGUAAUACGUAGGUGGCAAGCGUUGUCCGGAAUUAUUGGGCGUAAAGCGCGCGCAGGCGGUUCCUUAAGUCUGAUGUGAAAUCUCGCGGCUCAACCGCGAGCGGCCAUUGGAAACUGGGGAACUUGAGUACAGGAGAGGGGAGCGGAAUUCCACGUGUAGCGGUGAAAUGCGUAGAGAUGUGGAGGAACACCAGUGGCGAAGGCGGCUCUCUGGCCUGUAACUGACGCUGAGGCGCGAAAGCGUGGGGAGCGAACAGGAUUAGAUACCCUGGUAGUCCACGCCGUAAACGAUGAGUGCUAAGUGUUAGAGGGUAUCCACCCUUUAGUGCUGCAGCAAACGCAUUAAGCACUCCGCCUGGGGAGUACGGCCGCAAGGCU
rnacentral:rRNA from 1 species